GACGAACGCUGGCGGCGUGCUUAACACAUGCAAGUCGAGCGGUAAGGCCCUUUCGGGGGUACACGAGUGGCGAACGGGUGAGUAACACGUGGGUGACCUGCCCUCAGCUCUGGGAUAAGCCUGGGAAACCGGGUCUAAUACUGGAUAUGAUCCAUGACGCAUGUUGUGGGGUGGAAAGCCUUGUGCGGCUGAGGAUGGGCCCGCGGCCUAUCAGCUUGUUGGUGGGGUGANGGCCUACCAAGGCGACGACGGGUAGCCGGCCUGAGAGGGCGACCGGCCACACUGGGACUGAGACACGGCCCAGACUCCUACGGGAGGCAGCAGUGGGGAAUCUUGCGCAAUGGGCGAAAGCCUGACGCAGCGACGCCGCGUGAGGGAUGACGGCCUGG
rnacentral:rRNA from 1 species